UUUAUUUAUUUACUUAUUUAUUUCAGCUGGGACUUCAAUGUACCUUUCGACCAGGCAAAAUAGUGAUCAUCUGAUUUUUGGGGAAGCUUCUCAAAAUAAUUUUAUGGACGUCUACAUAGGACAGUUAAGGACUGAAUGUCUUUCCUAUAGAGAUUAUGAUGAUAUUAAAAUCAAAAAGUGCCAAACCCCAUCAUUUUGAAUAUACACCUAGGGUCACACCGUUCAUGAGGCAAACAAGACUAAAAAUUGGUAAUUGAUUACAACAGGUAAGCUCCUCUGACAGAAGGCGUUUGGAGUCUUCAAAAGGUGCAGCUGAAAGAUCAAAUGUGAAAUUAAAGUUUAAUGAAGGUGAUGGUUGUUCCUCUACCCAUUUCCCCACCCCCCCCGGGGGAUCAGAAGAUCAUUUAAUAAGGCUGUUUUUAUACACAAAUGCAACUUGUUUAUUUUGACCUCAGUUCUUCGAAAUUGUCGACGCCACACUGAAAUAUGCUGUGUGUUCCAACAAGGACCCAGCAGUCGUAAUGACAGACCAGCCCAUCUGUGCUGCGAGAAUGUAUAAUUUCAGUCUAUAGUGGAAUUUAUAUAGAAGCGAGAUCAUGUGAAAACUGAGAUGCGUGGUACUUUCUUCGAAAAAAAUAUCGCUACAUGAUAUUUGGUCUCAUCUAACUAUCCCAACUGCAUAAGAUGUAUGCUGGAAAAUGUAUUAUCCAGAUACAGUAAGACGAUUAGAGGAACAGAACCUCAGAGGAAGAUACUAAUUUAGAGGGAAAAUGCUCAUUUAUGGAGAUUAAUUGAUUUUAUGCUACCUGCCCCUACCCUGUCCAAAAAGACGGCGAGUUAACUCUCAGGAAAUGGGACUAUCGCUCCAGGAUUUAGAAUUAAAGGCCGAUUCACCAACGUUAAUUAUAACAAAAAAUAAAAUUAAAAAAAAAAGGAGGAGUGGGCAGCUCUGAGAAGUCUAAAUUCUUUCCAAAUGAUUACCCCCCUCCCCGCCCCCUCUACCAGCUUCUCUAGUCUCUCGACUCCUCUGCCUUUAGAAUUUAUGACACUCUGUUUCUUGCUAUUACUUUUAUUUUGCCACCAGUGUUUUAUUUGGUGCUUGCUAAAUAUUUGGGUGGAGUGAUCUUCCAGCUUGCAGCAGCAGAAUGUGGCUGUCAUAGUCAUGAAAAUGUUUUAAUUAUCUCUGCUACAGAGAUGCCUGUCUCUGCAGCCCCAAGUCCUCCAGUACCGACUGCUGUCUAAUCUAAGAACAAAAGCGGCCGCAGAUAUUCCUCGUGCGCUGAGCUCACUUUCAACAUUUGCUGGUGUCUGCUCCGGCCAGCCGGCGGCUCAGGCCGGCACACACAGGACCCGAACGCCUCUGAUGCCAGAAAAUAACCAAAAAACCUAUUUACGUGGGAAUUUUCCUCUGAGUUGCACCCCAGCACUUCCUGGGCCUGAUCUCCCAUGUUCUGUAAAUCAAGACCCUGGCUACCCUCGAACGUGGGGAACCCAGGCUGUGUCUGCGGGAGCUUUGUCAGCCUGCCAGAGGAGCGAGGUGAGCUUGGAGCUGCACUCUGCAAAGACCACGUCUUAAAUGAAAAGCUUCAGGGACCAACAGAGAAACGCGGGCAGCCAUGGACCCCAGUUCCUGGACAGCAGCGGCAGCGUGGCCUGGGGACUGACUCCCUGCCCGACGGUCCACCGUUCAGCCCUGGCCAGUCAGGAUGGCUGGGGCCACAGCUCUGCAGGUGGGAAACCAGGACAGGAUCAGGGCACAGGCAGGCCCUGGGACCACUCAGGGCCCCCGAGGGCUGGUCUGGUGGACGUGCCCCCCGUGAGCCGUCUGUGGGCAGGGCAGUUAUAAACCAGGCAGGGCAAGGCUAGCUGGAAGCCCCGGGCUUAAAUAAGUGCUUAAAAAAACAAAGCCCCAAACAACCGAAGAGAUUUCCCCCACACUGAGCUGAGCACCGAAAAGAGCUUCUUCUUCCCCCCCCGGCCCCCCCAAAAAUAAAAUAAAAGGGAGAAAGAACUGGAUUCCUAAACUUGUGGACAUGGCAGCAUUCAAGAUGCCGGAUGAAAUGAAAGGGCCUCUGUUUCUCAAAGCAGCACCCACCCUCCCGUGUGCCAGCCUGGCCCUGCCUGCCGAGGAGUUUGCUGGAAGGAGCAUGGAUGGUUCUGGUGUUUUUCCCUGUGCCAC
rnacentral:lncRNA from 1 species